CCUACGGGCGGCAGCAGUGGGGGAUAUUGCACAAUGGGGGGAACCCUGAUGCAGCGACGCCGCGUGGGUGAAGAAGCGCCUCGGCGCGUAAAGCCCUGUCAGCAGGGAAGAAAAUGACGGUACCUGAAGAAGAAGCCCCGGCUAACUACGUGCCAGCACCCGCGGUAAUACGUAGGGGGCAAGCGUUAUCCGGAUUUACUGGGUGAAGGGGGGCGCAGACGGCGAUGCAAGCGGGGAGUUAAAGCCCGGGGCCCAACCCCGGGACGGGUCUUGGAACUGCGGGGCUGGAGUGCAGGAGGGGCAGGCGGAAUUCCUGGUGUAGCGGUGAAAUGCGUAGAUAUCAGGAGGAACACCGGUGGCGAAGGUGGCCUGCUGGACUGCAACUGACGUUGAGGCCCGAAAGCGUGGGGAGCAAACAGGAUUAGAUACCCCUGUAGUC
rnacentral:rRNA from 1 species